UACAGAGGUGGCAAGCGUUGCUCGGAAUCACUGGGCGUAAAGGGUGCGUAGGCGGGUCUUUUAAGUCAGGGGUGAAAUCCUGGAGCUCAACUCCAGAACUGCCUUUGAUACUGAGGAGCUUGAAUCCGGGAGAGGGAUGCGGAAUUCCAGGUGUAGCGGUGAAAUGCGUAGAUAUCUGGAGGAACACCGGUGGCGAAGGCAAUCCCCUGGGCCUUACCUGACGCUCAGGCGCGAAAGCUAGGGGAGCGAACUGG
rnacentral:rRNA from 1 species